rnacentral:rRNA from 1 species
UGCGGGAAACCGUGAUAAGGGGACACCGAGUGCCAGCAUCAUAUGCUGGCUGUCCGGGUGUGUAAAAUACACCUGUUAGCAAGGGCCGGGCAAGACCGGUGCCAGCCGCCGCGGUAACACCGGCGGCCCGAGUGGUGAUCGUGAUUAUUGGGUCUAAAGGGUCCGUAGCCGGUUUGGUCAGUCCUCCGGGAAAUCUGACAGCUCAACUGUUAGGCUUUCGGCGGAUACUGCCAGACUUGGAACCGGGAGAGGUAAGAGGUACUACAGGGGUAGGAGUGAAAUCUUGUAAUCCCUGUGGGACCACCUGUGGCGAAGGCGUCUUACCAGAACGGGUUCGACGGUGAGGGACGAAAGCUGGGGGCACGAACCGGAUUAGAUACCCGGGUAGUCCCAGCCGUAAACGAUGCUCGCUAGGUGUCAGGCAUGGCGCGACCGUGUCUGGUGCCGCAGGGAAGCCGUGAAGCGAGCCACCUGGGAAGUACGGCCGCAAGGCUGAAACUUAAAGGAAUUGGCGGGGGAGCACAACAACGGGUGGAGCCUGCGGUUUAAUUGGACUCAACGCCGGACAACUCACCGGGGGCGACAGCAAUAUGUAGGCCAGGCUGAAGACCUUGCCUGAAUCGCUGAGAGGAGGUGCAUGGCCGUCGC